AGAUGCGACGAGGUGUCGCCGUUCAUAAGACACAUGGACGCUGUGGGGUGCAAAUCCCCCCCUAACUUGAGGGAAAUCAAGCCC
rfam:Beet virus Q genomic RNA 2